rnacentral:rRNA from 1 species
AGUGAACGCUGGCGGUAGGCCUAACACAUGCAAGUCGAACGGCAGCACAGUAAGAGCUUGCUCUUACGGGUGGCGAGUGGCGGAGGGGUGAGGAAUACAUCGGAAUCUACUUUUUCGGGGGGGAUAACGUAGGGAAACUUACGCUAACACCGCAUACGACCUACGGGUGAAAGCAGGGGAUCUUCGGACCUUGCGCGAUUGAAGGAGCCGAUGUCGGAUUAGCUAGUUGGCGGGGUAAAGGCCCACCAAGGCGACGAUCCGUAGCUGGUCUGAGAGGAUGAUCAGCCACACUGGGACUGAGACACGGUCCAGACUCCUACGGGAGGCAGCAGUGGGGAAUAUUGGACAAUGGGCGCAAGCCUGAUCCAGCCAUACCGCGUGGGUGAAGAAGGCCUUCGGGUUGUAAAGCCCUUUUGUUGGGAAAGAAAAGCAGCAGGUUAAUACCCCGCUGUUCUGACGGUACCCAAAGAAUAAGCACCGGCUAACUUCGUG